rnacentral:lncRNA from 1 species
UGGAGAAUACGAAGCCUACUGGUACUUGGGACGGUGGAACUCCAACGGCAAGUUCCCACGUGAUCACACUCUUCAUGUGAUGCAUGGAAAGUAGUCCCAUAACCAGUCCAUAACCAGUUAGGCUGCACUCUGGGCUGGGCUGACCCAAAACCAGCACAUAGGCUCACUUUGGCUGGGCACUAUCUCCUGUGUGGUUCACACUUCACUGGAACUGGAAUUACAUUCCCAUCCAUGAUUCAGAUGAGUCGAUAAGGGUAACCAAACACUGUUAUCAUGAUCCAUGAAGAACAUGUUGAGUUGAGAACCCG